ensembl:lincRNA Gm12068 predicted gene 12068
GGGCAAUGCUCAAGGACCAUGCAUAUUUGAAUGCUUUAUACAGUAAAGAAGCAAACAUGGGAUUCAACACAUUGCCUCCAUAAAACAGCUUGAGAAACAAGUUAAGGACUAUGAAGAUUCAUACUGCUAAGCGUUCAAAGUUUAUGAAUGAAGAGACUGUCAGGCUGAGUUCCAGAAAGGCCAAAUGUUUUGCUUGUAACACAGCUACACGGGGGACAGAACUACGUGACUCAUGGUCUCCAGCUUCCCAGAUUCCUGAGAGAACAUUUAAGCAUUGAUGACCAGAGAAGGUGGAUAGAGAUGGAGGACAUGCAUACAGACUGGAUGCUCAGCUAAAGAGAAACUCACUAGGAAUAGCUCCUGACCAUCUGGAAGG